rfam:Domibacillus iocasae strain DSM 29979 DSM29979_contig_5, whole genome shotgun sequence.
CGAAUCCUGAUGUGUACGUUAGUUACACAUUCUGUUUUGACCGAACACUAUAUGUUUGGGAGUCUGAGUUUUUGGACUGCGCACAUGCCCUUUGCGGGGACUUGCAACGCCCGAAACAGGGCACCCACCUGCUGUAGAGCGGGUUCAAAACAUAUGUUUUACAACGACGGCACGAUUGGGAUUCGC